AAUGAACGCUGGCGGCGCGCCUAAUACAUGCAAGUCGAGCGAGAAGACGUAGCAAUACGUUUGUAAAGCGGCGAACGGGUGAGGAAUACAUGGGUAACCUACCCUCGAGUGGGGAAUAACUAGCCGAAAGGUUAGCUAAUACCGCGUACGCUUCUUGGACUUCGGUUCAGGGAGGAAAGCGAUGCCGAGGGUAUCGCGCUCUUGGAUGGGCUCAUGUCCUAUCAGCUUGUUGGUGAGGUAACGGCUCACCAAGGCUUCGACGGGUAGCUGGUCUGAGAGGACGAUCAGCCACACUGGCACUGCGACACGGGCCAGACUCCUACGGGAGGCAGCAGUAAGGAAUAUUGCGCAAUGGGCGAAAGCCUGACGCAGCGACGCCGC
rnacentral:rRNA from 1 species